GAUGAACGCUGGCGGCGUGCCUAAUACAUGCAAGUCGAGCGAACAGACGAGGAGCUUGCUCCUCUGACGUUAGCGGCGGACGGGUGAGUAACACGUGGAUAACCUACCUAUAAGACUGGGAUAACUUCGGGAAACCGGAGCUAAUACCGGAUAAUAUAUUGAACCGCAUGGUUCAAUAGUGAAAGACGGUUUUGCUGUCACUUAUAGAUGGAUCCGCGCCGCAUUAGCUAGUUGGUAAGGUAACGGCUUACCAAGGCAACGAUGCGUAGCCGACCUGAGAGGGUGAUCGGCCACACUGGAACUGAGACACGGUCCAGACUCCUACGGGAGGCAGCAGUAGGGAAUCUUCCGCAAUGGGCGAAAGCUUGACGGAGCAACGCCGCGUGAGUGAUGAAGGUCUUCGGAUCGUAAAACUCUGUUAUUAGGGAAGAACAAAUGUGUAAGUAACUAUGCACGUCCUGACGGUACCUAAUCAGAAAGCCACGGCUAACUACGUG
rnacentral:rRNA from 1 species